CGGGGGUGGAGCGCUCCGAAAUUGGCUGGGCGCGCCCCUUACGUCAUCUUUCUGAGCCCGCGCAGGGUUUGGGCCCCUUGGUAUCUGGGGUGUUGUGUUUGGCUCCCAGUUUUCUGGGGAGUCGGACAAAUUUCCUAACCUGAGUCCCGGUUAUUUCCCGUCGUUGCCUUCUUCUGCAUCUGAGUCCUCUUCUUCAAGCCGCGGCUCCUGGUAGCCCGGCCUGGCUUCGGGCGUCCCAACGGGACGAGGCGUACGGAAGCCGGGCGGGAGCGCCCCCCGGUUGCGCGCAGCGUGGGGGCCGCGUGGGCUCCCGUGCUCGGGCUGUGGGCGGGGUGUGCGCGUGUCCAUCCCGGGCCCUGCGCUGAGGACCCGCAUGGCCGCGCUUGGGCGGCCCGGCCCGGCCAGGUGCUUGCACCGCGGAAACAGAUACGCUAAAUUCAUAUUCUCUACACGUCUCGAUCUUUUCCUACAAGAAUACUAGCGGCUUCCUGCGCAGAACCUUGUUGUUUUCCUUUUUUUCUUCCUGCUGUGGGUUGAACGUAGGGCCUCCCACAUGCUAGGCACGUGCUGUACGACUGAGCUACAGCCCCAGCCUAUUAACACACCUUUUUUGAGACCGAGCCUUGGUCAGUUCCCCAGGCUGCCUUGACCUCGGGAUCCUCCUGCCUCAGGCUCCUGCGUAGCUAGGGUUGCGGGUGUGUGCCGCUGUGCCUGUCUACGCACUUGCUCCGAUUCCUCCGACGGAGAUCGUGCGUCUCUGAGCGUGUUUCUCCUUACUACUUAGCAGACGCUGACGGUGAGCACAGCGUCGGACUCCGAUGAAGAUGGUGAAAAGAUAGUCGAGGCACUGUUUCCGCAGAGCUCACGGCCUAGCGGGGGAGGCAGGCUGGCGAUGAGGCAGAAGCCACAAGCACUACUGCAGGAUCCUGGUUUGAGACUCUUAAGAUGAGCAGCCAGGAGCCAGGUCAUGUCCAGCAGACUCAACAUGAGAUACUGAUAGAACACAGAAGCAGAAUGUUCACGUGAACUGAAAAGCUACCAAGGAAGACCGAAGCAAGCCCCUAGCUUCACUCGCUCUCAGCUUGAAGAUCACUCACCUGGCAGUCACAGCCAGGCACUACAUCGCGAGUUUACUGCUAGCCUUGUUAGAUAGCACCUCUAUCGUGUGGGUUAUGGGAACAGUUGCCUGGGUUACCGCCUAGGGACCAGACCGCCGCUUUUGCUGCUAACAUUGACUCUUCUCUUGGGCCUACAGAAACGCAAUGGGUGAUGAAAAUGGGAUAAAAGGCAUCUGUUUCUUCUUACUGUGUCCACCUCUGGGUCAGACACUACUCAGCCCUGCACCUAGACACGCUGAUCAUUUAGAAGCGUUCCUUCUUACGUCUGUAAUGCAGGCUUCAGCUGGCCUGUUGCCCACUGGAGCUGCUAUGUUUGAUUUUUCUCCCAGCCUUCAAUGUCAGGAGCUCCUAAAGUCCAAGUAUUUGGCACCUCUCAGCCCCAUCACAGGCCACACCACAGGGGGGAAAUUUUGUGUGGAUGAUGGCACCAGCUACAGGAAGAGUCCACGCCUGUAAGUCAAGUUGGCUGUGACCACCAGCGGUCCACGUCUGUUACAAGAAGAAACAUCUUUUGGAACUGUGCCCCUGGCCAGUGGAAGUCACCGGGCCAUGCUAGCAAACCGAGAGAAACCUUCGCUCUGUGCUCCGAGCAGCACCUACUGAGCCUUUCGACCAGAUGCUGACCCCCUUCAACCAGCGCUCCAGUGCGGCAGAAGCUGCCCUUCCCCGGGGAUGUUCUGCUUGUGCAGAGAGCACACACAGACGUGUGGUAUUUGGCCCAGUCUUGUGUCUGCAUCUGGGUAAGAAGAUCCUGCCAUCCAGGACGACUUCUCACUCUGCUUUUUACAUAGCCUUUUCCUUCUCAAGGGUCACACAGUGUUGCACUCUGUGGAGUGUCAAAGAUAAACAGCUGGGCAUUAAAGUGGUGGAAACCUUUUAUUAAGUAA